UACGUAGGGCGCAAGCGUUAUCCGGAAUUAUUGGGCGUAAAGAGCUCGUAGGCGGUUUGUCGCGUCUGCCGUGAAAGUCCGGGGCUCAACUCCGGAUCUGCGGUGGGUACGGGCAGACUAGAGUGAUGUAGGGGAGACUGGAAUUCCUGGUGUAGCGGUGAAAUGCGCAGAUAUCAGGAGGAACACCGAUGGCGAAGGCAGGUCUCUGGGCCACUACUGCGCUGAGAAGCGAAAGCAUGGGGAGCGAACGGG
rnacentral:rRNA from 1 species